rnacentral:lncRNA from 1 species
UGUCACUGACGACCAUUGGUGAUCAGGCAAGAGGUGAGACUGGAGGUGAGGUCUUAGCCAGAGCCUCAUUGAUGGGAAUAGCAGCAUAGAUCAGCUCCUGGCCCCUCAUCAAAUAUACUGGUUGGUCUCACACACACACACAGACCACUGAUUACAUUAUCAAUGGUGGUUAUGAUUAGCCUGGUGAAACCGACCUGAUCGCUGUGUUCACCUUUCUAUUUCACUUCAGAUAUCUUCUAAUGUGAUGUGAAAUAGAUUGAUGAACACAGGGAUCAGGCUGGUUCCACCUGAUUAGGUAAUGACCUGGACAUUAUAUGGUGAACACAGGGCUCAGGCUGAUUCCUCCUGGUUAGGUAAUGACCUGGACAUUAUAUGGUGAACACAGGGCUCAGGCUGGUUCCACCAGGUUAGGUAAUGACCUGGACAUUAUAUGGUGAACACAGGGCUCAGGCUGGUUCCACCAGGUUAGGUAAUGACCUGGACAUUAUAUGGUGAACACAGGGCUCAGGCUGGUUCCACCAGGUUAGGUAAUGACCUGGACAUUAUAUGGUGAACACAGGGCUCAGGCUAGUUCCACCAGGUUAGGUAAUGACCUGAACAUUAUAUGGUGAACACAGGACUCAGGCUGGUUCCACCAGGUUAGGUAAUGACCUGGACAUUAUAUGGUGAACACACUCAGGCUGGUUCCACCAGGUUAGGUAAUGACCUGGACAUUAUAUGGUGAACACACUCAGGCUGGUUCCACCAGGUUAGGUAAUGACCUGGACAUUAUAUGGUGUACACACUCAGGCUGGUUCCACCAGGUUAGGUAAUGACCUGGACAUUAUAUGGUGAACACAGGGCUCAGGCUGGUUCCACCAGGUUAGGUAAUGACCUGGACAUUAUAUGGUGAACACACUCAGGGUGGUUCCACCAGGUUAGGUAAUGACCUGGACAUUAUAUGGUGAACACAGGGCUCAGGCUAGUUCCACCAGGUUAGGUAAUGACCUGAACAUUAUAUGCAUCUAAGAAGUAGAAAAUAAGCAAGCAAAUAAUGCCAGUUUAUAUACAUUAUGUUUCACUAUUGGGUUUUCAAAUGUAUCAAAGUAAUGAAGUGGGUUACCUUCUGUAUUUGUACAAAUGAUGAGCCUGUGAAAGCUGUUGUCGAUGACAGGUUUGUCUAACCGGAUACUUGCCAACAUGUGGCUGACUGUUCCAUUCAUAGGAAUGCUCACAGUGAAGUCAAGUCUGUAUGAUACUGAUGAAAGUCUUCACUAUGCUGCAUGUUCUGCUGCCAUCUGGACAUGUCUCCAACAACUGCAACAGGAAAUCUGAUGAGGUGGUGUUGGCUGGGAGGGCCUGUGACAGGGUCAUAUAAUAGAGAGCCAAGUGGUCAAUUGCAUUUUG